rnacentral:lncRNA from 1 species
AUGUCUAGCUGGGCUGGAGCAAAGGAUUUCAAGAACGGGAGCAAAGAGGGAUCUCCUGGAAAACCUGCUGUUUUCUGCUCUCCUCCCCUGGAGAAGUUGGAAAGGAAGAAAAUCAUCAUCCUGUUUGUUCUUGUUUCAUGUGCUAUUAUGUUCCCUUACUUCUCCAUGAAGAUAACUUCAGGGAAAUACUUCUCCACUGAACCUUUGAAAGCCCUCAUGCUGGUGGCCUUGCUCAUAUCAGGUGUCUGA